GAUGAACGCUGGCGGCGUGCCUAAUACAUGCAAGUCGAGCGAACGGACGAGAAGCUUGCUUCUCUGAUGUUAGCGGCGGACGGGUGAGUAACACGUGGAUAACCUACCUAUAAGACUGGGAUAACUUCGGGAAACCGUAGCUAAUACCGGAUAAUAUUUUGAACCGCAUGGUUCAAAAGUGAAAGACGGUCUUGCUGUCACUUAUAGAUGGAUCCGCGCUGCAUUAGCUAGUUGGUAAGGUAACGGCUUACCAAGGCAACGAUGCAUAGCCGACCUGAGAGGUUGAUGGCCCACUCUGGAACUAAAACGCGCUCAAGACACCGACGGGAGGCAACAGUAGGGAAUCUGCCGAAAUGGGCGAAGGCCUGACGAAGCAGCGCGGCGUGAUUGAUGAGGGGUUUCGAAUCGUAAACCCCUGUUAUUAGGGAAAAACAUAAUUUUAAGUAAUGGUGCAUAUAUUGACGGUACCUACUCAGAGAGCCGCGCCUAAUAACGU
rnacentral:rRNA from 1 species